CUCUGAGAUGUUUUGGUUGUGCUACCACCACCGGACGGAGCUGCUAGAACGGAUAUUUUGCUGUGUUCCUUGACGAUGACUGCUCCGCGGCGGAGUGCUUGGAACGGGCGUAGCACACGGUGGAGUGGUGACAUAACUACACGAUGUGUGCAGUGGCAUGAGGGCCAGCAAAAAAACAUUUGAAAAUUAAGCGGCACUACCAUGAGAUAUGGCCGGCACUUACCGAUGUGCCACUGUAAGAUGUGACCGGCUUUCCAACAUCAGUAGCCAUGGUUUUCAUCCUCUGCAUUGAGUCUUGAUCAAACAACUUUACCCUCAGCAACUCGGAAUGUUGCUUGUUGGACAUCCCAAGGGCGAGGUUGUCUAGCAGGAAUAUCUGUGAGUGCAACAGUUUGUUAGCUCCCAAAAAAAUGAAAGUAACUAGUGUCAUGAAUUUGGGGCCUCCAUACAUAGUAUUACCUGGAGAAACAAGUAGCAUCCAACUAAGUUGGUGGCGGGGUUGCCUGACCGAAUAUUAUUCUUUAUCCUCCUAACACCAGCGAGCAGGCAUUGAAUCACAUACUCACACCAGUUGAACUGCUUAAUCGUCUCAGUAUUAGCCAGUGUUCCCCAGAAAUCAAUAGUGGCAUAUCCAUGCUUUCUGAAAAAUUCAGUAUCUUGUUCUCUGCCAUGACAAUGGUGCGGCGGGUGGGGCUUACCUUACUCAUUGUCCAUGCACUGAAUUUCAGGUUUAGUUUCUGCAGCAUUUGAAGGUCAAGCAUACCCCAAACCCAAUGCUCGUAACAAGAAAUCGCUUGAACUCAUUGAAUGUCUAGAUGACAUCGACGGCGUGCUUGACAGAUAUACAAGAGGUUGGUGCUGGGGGCACGGCUAGGUCACCGCUCUGUCCUGAAUCUUGGCUAGCUGCCUGCAGGUUCUCGUCGCCCAUCUCUCCCUCAUAGCUGCCUUCAACUGAAAUUUUACCCUGCAGCAUUGGUGGGAAAAAAUAAGCCUGGUAUUGUGGACUAAAAAAUAAAAACUUGGGAUUCAGACUUUCAGAGAAUUCAAAAAACAUAUUGCCUUUUAUCUGAUAUACAGUUA